GAAAAAAAGCCCAUACAAAUGAAAUGAUUCAUGAAACAUUUGGCAAACGAUUUAAAAAGACCAACAAUUGUCGCUGCUUAUGGUUAUUGUUGUUAUUGCUAUUGUUAUUGCUCAUACAUUGACACAGUAUGGUUUUGUCGUAAAUUAAAAGCAAUUUACAAGCAAAUAAAGGCAAAGAAGCCCAAGAUAUGUGUGUCAACAAAACGAAUGAACGAUAAUUAUUUCCGCAAAUUUUUCGUGCAGGUGACAAAUUAAAAGUCAAAUUGUUGCUCUCCUUUUUCAUUUUCUUCGCCGGUUUGUAGAGGGAAUUUCUUCAACCUCAACAGGAAACAUAAUUUAUUUAUUUAUUUUAUUUAUCAACCCAAUGACAACCAGCAAACAGGGAAGGAAAGAACGAACAGCUCAGCAUAUGGUGCUCGUAACCUUUAUCCCUGUUGCAGGACAGACAGAAAUAAAUUUACGUGGAGUAUACUUAUAUGCACUUUUGUUUGAAAGCUUUAAGAUGUUUGAAAUUAUAUACCAAGACAUUAAGUUGUCGAAGGCCACUUCUACCUUAGAGGUGCUCAAAGUCCUGACUUGCAGGUCAGUAAUUUCACUGCCACAAUUUGUUUCACAAUUUUUAUACACAGAAAUGCAAUUUCAAGUAGUUAAUGCAAUAUAAUAUCCUAAAUUAAACCUUUACGCAACCUACUUCAUACUUUGAACUUGAUUAGGAGUGAAAUCAAAAAGUAAACCAAUAUUUUAACGUUCAAUUUACUGGAAAUAUGAUAAUUAUGCAAAGCUUGAAUGGAUAGCCAAGCAUUCUUCUUGCUGCUCAUUAUCCUUGGAAACAUUACCCACACCGGCCCGAGAAACUCAUUACAAUUGCAUGGGGGAAAGCGGAAAACUUUAAAGUAGCAGUAGUAAUAGCAGCCAGCACCAGGAGCUGUGCUCUCUACCGGGAAUCAACCCAAUCUCAUUCGGACCCAUUGCGGGGAUGCAAAGGGGCCAAAAAUAAACGGCCUACAUUUUCAGCCACCGUACCGCGGACAUCUUCCGCCCACCGCUACGCUCUGCGCCAUCGGUUAACCCAUUUCGAGAAAUACAAAAAUAUCUUUAGCGAAAAGUUCAAUAAAUGCUCCAUUUCCAUUUCGCCAGAGAGCCUCUCGUCGUGCGCUGUGUCUCUCAACUGAAAUUACUA